UAAAAUCGUUGAAACUACCUCUACUUCUAUCCACUUGGUGAAGUAAUAUACACCUAAAAGUCAGAACUUUAUAUAUCUUGGGGUGGGUGGUAAUGGUCCUAAGACGUCGACUCUCAACAUGUAGAAUGGCCAUGAUGAGGUUACUAAAUUGGGGACCUCAACCAAGGCGUGACGUAGGUAUGAUAAUCUUUGGCACUUUUCGUACUUGUUGAUGAAGUUGGCAUUGUCCCUUAUCAGAAUGGAUCAAUAAUAUGUAGCCCUCAGUAACUUCCUAUCAAUUUCUCUUCCCCUAUGUGGCUUCGUUACACACUUUCGUGUACCUCUAUAUGUACCAACUUUGUCUCUUUCUCAUUGUUAAUGUUUCUCUUCUCAUAUUGUACAAAUUUCCAACAGCCAAAUUAUAUUUAUUAUACUUUUUCUUCUUCUUACAUCUUCUUCAUUUGAGGUAAAUUCUCACUUGUCAUGUACUGGAUCAUGGGUUCCAUACAACCCUUGCCACCUGCUUUUUCGAUAAGGUUAACUUCAUCAACUUCAAGACUGAAGAAAAGACGAUGACUGAGGUUUCGAGAGCUAAUCAAAGACGUUAAUUACCUAGUAUGCAUAUCUUUUAUGUGAUGAGCUUAACUUACCCCCUACAAAAAAUCCUCCAGCUAUAAUGUUGAGGUGUGAUGAACAGGUUCUCCUUUGCUUCUUUCUGAUGAUUCUUUAUCCCUCAUAGGUUGGGGGCUUCUUAGAUUAUCGGGCCUAAAAAGUCGAGCUCUUGCUCUACAACUGGAUGGAGCACUCUGGAUGUAUCUAUUGAGAUUCCCUUCCUAAGAUAUUUUAUUUCCUUCUUCAAUUUCUCAUAGUCACGUGUAUGAUGGCUUUUAACCUUGUAGUUAAUUUCCCAUAACCUCCCAUUUAGUGGUUCAAAAAUAGAUUUGGUGUGAAAUGCUUCUCACCAUAUUUGCUCUCUUAUUGUAUUUAUUAACAUGUAGUUUCCCACGAUUCUUUUAUGAGGUUUGAAGUACCCUCGUCUGUGAAUUGUUGUGGAUAAUUAUUCUUGUGUUGAUUAAAGGAGUUUGAUCUGCCA